rnacentral:tRNA from 6 species
GGGCUCGUAGCUCAGCUUGGUAGAGCGCUCGGCUGAUAACCGGGAGGUCGAGGGUUCAAAUCCCUCCGAGCCCA